rnacentral:misc_RNA from 1 species
GAUGAAGAACGUAGCGAAAUGCGAUAAGUAAUGUGAAUUGCAGAACUCAGUGAAUCAUCGAAUCUUUGAACGCACAUUGCGCCCGCCAGUAUUCUGGCGGGCAUGCCUGUUCGAGCGUCAUUUCAACCAUCAAGCCCCAGGCUUGUGUUGGGGACCUGCGGCUGCCGCAGGCCCUGAAAACCAGUGGCGGGCUCGCUAGUCACACCGAGCGUAGUAGCAUACACAUCGCUCAGGGCGUGCUGCGGGUUCCGGCCGUUAAACCCCUUUUUUACCCAAGGUUGACCUCGGAUCAGGUAGGAAGACCCGCUGAACUUAAGCAUAUCAAUAAGCGGAGGA